UGAGGAAUAUUGGACAAUGGGCGCAAGCCUGAUCCAGCCAUGCCGCGUGCAGGAAGAAGCAUCUAUGGUGUGUAAACUGCUUUUGUACGGGAAGAAACACUCCUUCGUGAAGGAGCUUGACGGUACCGUAAGAAUAAGGAUCGGCUAACUCCGUGCCAGCAGCCGCGGUAAUACGGAGGAUCCAAGCGUUAUCCGGAAUCAUUGGGUUUAAAGGGUCCGUAGGCGGUUUAGUGAGUCAGUGGUGAAAGCCCAUCGCUGAACGAUGGAACGGCCAUUGAUACUGGUAGACUUGAGUUAUUAGGAGGUGACUAGAAUAUGUAGUGUAGCGGUGGAAUGCGUAGAUAUUACGUGGAAUACCAAUUGCGAAGGCAGGUUUCUACUACUGGAUUGACGCUGAUGGGCGAAAGCGUGGGGAGCGAACA
rnacentral:rRNA from 1 species